GUUUGAUCCAUGGCUCAGAAUUGAACGCUGGCGGCAUGCUUUACACAUGCAAGUCGAACGGUAACAGGGAGCUUGCUCCGCUGACGAGUGGCGAACGGGUGAGUAAUAUAUCGGAACGUACCCAAGAGUGGGGGAUAACGUAGCGAAAGUUACGCUAAUACCGCAUACGAUCUAUGGAUGAAAGCAGGGGACCUUCGGGCCUUGUGCUCCUGGAGCGGCCGAUAUCUGAUUAGCUAGUUGGUGAGGUAAAGGCUCACCAAGGCGACGAUCAGUAGCUGGUCUGAGAGGACGACCAGCCACACUGGAACUGAGACACGGUCCAGACUCCUACGGGAGGCAGCAGUGGGGAAUUUUGGACAAUGGGCGCAAGCCUGAUCCAGCAAUGCCGCGUGAGUGAAGAAGGCCUUCGGGUUGUAAAGCUCUUUUGUCAGGGAAGAAACGGCUGUGGCUAAUAUCCACGGCUAAUGACGGUACCUGAAGAAUAAGCACCGGCUAACUACGUGCCAGCAGCCGCGGUAAUACGUAGGGUGCAAGCGUUAAUCGGAAUUACUGGGCGUAAAGCGUGCGCAGGCGGUUUUGUAAGUCUGUCGUGAAAUCCCCGGGCUCAACCUGGGAAUUGCGAUGGAGACUGCAAAGCUAGAAUCUGGCAGAGGGGGGGUAGAAUUCCACGUGUAGCAGUGAAAUGCGUAGAGAUGUGGAGGAACACGAUGGCGAAGNNNNCCCCUGGGUCAAGAUUGACGCUCAUGCACGAAAGCGUGGGGAGUAAACAGGAUUAGAUACCCUGGUAGUCCACGCCCUAAACGAUGUCUACUAGUUGUCGGGUUUUAAUUAACUUGGUAACGCAGCUAACGCGUGAAGUAGACCGCCUGGGGAGUACGGUCGCAAGAUUAAAACUCAAAGGAAUUGACGGGGACCCGCACAAGCGGUGGAUGAUGUGGAUUAAUUCGAUGCAACGCGAAAAACCUUACCUACCCUUGACAUGUCAGGAAGACCGGAGAGAUUUGGUUGUGCCCGAAAGGGAACCUGAACACAGGUGCUGCAUGGCUGUCGUCAGCUCGUGUCGUGAGAUGUUGGGUUAAGUCCCGCAACGAGCGCAACCCUUGUCAUUAGUUGCUACGCAAGAGCACUCUAAUGAGACUGCCGGUGACAAACCGGAGGAAGGUGGGGAUGACGUCAAGUCCUCAUGGCCCUUAUGGGUAGGGCUUCACACGUCAUACAAUGGUACAUACAGAGGGCCGCCAACCCGCGAGGGGGAGCUAAUCCCAGAAAGUGUAUCGUAGUCCGGAUCGUAGUCUGCAACUCGACUACGUGAAGUUGGAAUCGCUAGUAAUCGCGGAUCAGCAUGCCGCGGUGAAUACGUUCCCGGGUCUUGUACACACCGCCCGUCACACCAUGGGAGCGGGUUUUACCAGAAGUAGGUAGCUUAACCGCAAGGAGGGCGCUUACC
rnacentral:rRNA from 1 species